rnacentral:lncRNA from 1 species
CAAAAAAGCAAGCCUGCCCCUAUGGGGAAGACUUCCUGCCCGCCUUCCCUGCAGGAGGCUGGCCCAGGGCUUUGAGGGGAAUCAUGGUGAACUACAAGUGCUCCCUGCUUUCUGAUGCCCCCCUAGUGGGGCCAAGGCCCUCCCUGCUCUUGGGGCCUUGACACCCCUACUCUCCCAAGCCUGGUGAUCCAGUACUGAUGCUUGGUGAGCCCGCCAACAGCGCUGCUGCCCCUUCCCUUGAGGACUAAGCUCCGAUUUUUUAUCUUGCCCAGAUUCCUAUCUAAGGGGUCUGGGGAGUCAUGCCCUACCAACCAUACAUUCUCAUCAGACGGAUUUUAUCUGACCCUGUAUAUCAUGACUGACUUUCCAAUCUGACUGUGGCAUAACAAGGAAGAAAAUCAAAAUGUUUUACCCCAAAAUAAAUCUCCUUGCCAUAUCUCGAAAUUGUCCUGCAAAGUCUCUUGUGGGAAAAAUCCAUAUUCUAUAGGAAAUAUUUCCUUUCCCCUUUGUUUUCCUUCCUUCCUUCCCAGAUCCAGGAGAUAAUCAACUAAGAGCCAGGUACCCUUUUAGGUCCGAUAAGAAACAUUUUACAACCUGCUCUCUCUCUCUCUGAAGUCUGCUAUCUGAGAGAUUCCUCUGCACAAUAAAACUUGGUCCCCACAGUUCUGUAUCUUAACAUGAACCUUCCUUUCCAUUAAUCCCAGGUCUCCAGAUAAACCCAACCAAUUGUCAGUCAGAAAAUGUUUAAAUUUACCUAUAGCCUGGAAGCCCCCACUUUGAGUUGUCUCACCUUUCUGAACCAAACCAAUGUAUUUUUAAAAUGUCUUUGAUUGAGUCUCAUGCCUUCCUAAAACAUAUAAAACCAAGCUGUACCCCGACCACCUUGAACACAUGUUCUCAGGGUCUCCUGAGGGCUGUGUCAUGGGCCAUGGUCACUCAUAUUUGGCUCAGAAUAAAUCUCUUCAAAUAUUUUACAGAGUUUGACUCUUUUAGUCAGCACCCUUUAAUCACCAAGGCUUCCAAGCACACUCCCAUUUGGGAACCAUGCUGUAAUGGGGCCCAGACCCUGUCUUCAGGUGAUCUGAAUUGGCGCUUCUGAGAAAGCAAUUUGGGAGAAUGAUUUCCCCCCUCGAACCCAAGCCUUCCUUCUCUGGCUCCCUGGCUGAGGCCAAAGUAUAGCCCAGACCUGCUUCCAGAUCUAUCCUCCUCCUGCAGUCGCUCCAGCCACUCCACCACUCCGCCAGGGCCAAACUGCACUUCUUCCAGCCUGAUACCCUCUUUCCUGCUGGGCUCUACCGGUCUGUCUUCUGCGGUGAGCAACCCUCACCUAACUGUCACAGGCCAAGGGCAUAGUUCACCACCUUGUUUUCUCUGUCAACAGCUCUUCCUUCAGACGAUCACAAUGCACAUCUGUGUUUUAAACCUAAGGCCCUCUAAUUUUUACUCUAUUUCCAACCACUAAUUAAAAAUGGACUCCUCCUCUCUUCUUCCCUCUUUCUUAGUAUAUUCCCUUACAGUUUAUCAUGACGAUCUGUGAGAAUAAUUGUCGUAGAGGGCUUUGGAGGGACCAUUUCUGCAUGUAGAUGGACUGGGGCUGUCAGUGAAACCUGGAUGGUUAUAAGCUUUCUAUUUUAAUGAAUUUAUACGAGUACAAAUAUAUCGCUUCAGAGCCACCUUUUGUUUGCCUCAAGAAAUAGCCAAUUCAUGUUACAUUUUUAAAAAGGUCUUCCACUAUUAAUUAAAAGGAAUGAUUUGGGGUGGGGUAGGGUGCGAGUGUGGCAGAGAUUGGUUGUGACCACCUUCAGCUUAUUAACUUCCACUUCCAGCAGGUUCCCAGGGGGGCCACCUAUUAAAGACUGAGAGGACAUUGCUUUUCCAAACCUCCUCUCUUUUUACUGCUCGGCUCAUCUCCUCAGCUUGGGACCUCAGCGGGCAAGGGCAGAGUAGGAGGGAGGGCCCCGAGGGGUGGCGGACAGGCUGGUAGUCCAAGACGGUCUGGAAUGGAAUAGAAUAUGAAGAGAAAUGCAGCCCACCCACUCCUUCGGGGAGAGGAGAGUGCUGGUGGAGAAACUCGGGGCCUGAAUUUUUCUUGAGGAAUCUAAGAAGAUCCUUUGGCUUCAAGGCAGAUGGAACCUGGAUGGUUUAGGGGAGGAAUGGGACUUGACAGCGGCGCUCAAAGCUUCUGGGCAGGGCUUUGAUCUAAUUGACAGAAGUGAAAAUAGUAGACCUUGGCUCCUCUCUGCUCCCAUCUCUCUCCUGCUCAAAGUCCUUGGUCAGGCACUGUUCGUUCCUUCCAGCCCAAAGACUUGGGAAAGUAAUUUCUGCAGACCCCUCCAGAGCUGUUUCUGACCCCACAGACAAUCUGGUGGGUGAAGAAACCUGAAUUAGCGGAGACUUUCCACAAUAGCCCUCAAUCACUUCUCUUCAGCUCAGUUCCAGACCCUUUACAAAGUGCGUGAAGGCACCAUUCCCCAAAGCGCAGAAAGAAGGCGCAGCCUGCCAGCAGGACAGGACAUGUGAAAUCAGGGACGUCUGGGGAAACCCUCUAAGGUGAUCCUCGCCCCUGGCCUAGAAGUCUAGGGAGGCGGAGGUCCCCAUACACCCACCUCGGGGGGUACCUCAGGAACAGAGUAACCGUCCCGCGGGGCCGGCUGGUGGAGUGGGGCCGUUCCUAACGGCUGCCUCCGUCCUGCCUCGCGGUCUAGGGAAGGGGUCUCGGCCACCUCCUCCCGCAGCCUUCCAAAUCAAGAUGGACUCGCAGGAGACUACACCCUGCGUCUGCAGAACCUCAGAAUACAGAACCACCAGGGGUUCCUGGCCCAUGGCCCUGGGAGGAUUGCUGUUGGGGAGAUGGGAAGGAAUCUAGGGAGGCCGAGGCCCGCAACAACCAUCCCCGAGGACCUCAGAGCACAGUCUUCCCCCCUCGGGGUUGGCAGGGGCAGCCUGGCGCGGGGUGGGGAGAGGGGCCGGGGCGGGGCCGGGGCGAGGGGGCGGGGCCGGGGCGUAGAGGGCCACCAGGUCCCUCCCCACACGCCCGCUGUCCACGCGCUGCGGCCUUGGAGUAACUGCUGUUCUUAAAGGCUGCCUCCGUCCUGCCGCGCGGCCUUUAGAGGGUUGGAGCUGGCAGAACCGUAACUCCCUCUCUGAGGGUGAAUACGGGCCUUGAUUGCCAGAAGGGCCCUCGGCCGGGGACGCGGGAUGAUGCGGGGCCGGGAGAUGCUUUCCUGGAGGCUGAGAAACCUGGAGGGAGACCCCCAAAACUUCUCAGUUCGCCGACCCCUUGGUCCCAGAGGGAGAGGAGCAUCCCCAAAGAACAUUCAAGUCUGAGCCUCAAGGAGCCUCUGCGACUCGGUGUCUAGAUCCAGGAAAUGGAGAAUGAGCCGUGACUUUGGAUGCUUCACUCUUGUCCAUCAGGCUCGGAAUUGGCCUGUUGAAGUAGGAGGCAGGACUCAACUUCAGACCAGAUUGAAGACUGGCUGACACAGAAGAGGCACCAAAAGCACCUCUCUCUCCAUAAGACAUGCCCACCAGUGCCAUGACAGUUUACCAUUGCUAUGGCAAUGCCCAGAAGUUCUCACCCCUUUUCCAGACAUUUCUGCAUAAUCUACCCCUCAAUUGGCAUGUGAUCAAAAGUGGGUGUCAAAAUGACUGUGGAACUGUCCCUGAGCUGCUACUCUUGACAUGCUGGUUACAGGGUAGCCCGGCUCUGCAGGGACAGUCACGGAGCUGAAAAACUGCUGCCUAAUGAAGCUGUUUUCUUCUACCACCGGCUCACCCUCAAAUUAUUUCCUGAGCGAACUCAAGAACCUUCCUGGGCUAAGCCCCAAUUUUGGGGCUCGCCUGCCCCUGCAUCACAGCUUCCUCUUCUGUUCACAGCUGCAACCGCCUACUCAACCUUCUGCGGUUCCUCUCCCUGCCCCUCCACAGUGGCUGCUGAUGGGAGCUCUGGCUCCCUGCGUUUUCACUAUCUCCCAGUCAAAUGCAGAGUCCCUGUGCAAUUUAAAUGCUUCUCAGCUAAGAACAGAGAAGGGGAUAGCAUAAGGAUAUUCAAAAGAUUCAAGAAAUCUCAAAAGUGAUCACAAAACAUUUGUCUCUGACCAACCAGAAACAUCGACGGGUGAGAAGGGCAUUUCCUCUAGCUGAAUUCUUCAUGGGUCUUCAGGCUCUGUUUUCACUUUGGAUUUUCUGGAGUCUCCUGAAGGUUACCUGAAAUCUUGUUGGUCCUGAAUAUUGUAUGUGGAGUCCCAAGCUGCAAGAAGUCAGUGGGGCUGGACGGGAGCCAAAAUCAGAGACUCAAGCAGCACAGCUGGGCCCCAUUGAAAGUGAGACCAGCUGUCCCAGUUGGAAGCUGGGGUAUAGAGCUGGGGAUGGGUGGAGGCAGUGACAGGCUCCAUGUAUUGGUCAUUCAGACUCCCCAGUAGCCUCAGGACCCAACUCCCACAGGUCAGAGAAGACCUGGUGGAGGGCCUUAUGCAAACCUCAGUGGGUGAUGCAGGAGGGAGUUUUCUGAGCAGGAAUGCCAACAAAAAAGGCCUUCAAAGGAAGGCCCUGCUUGGGACAAUCCUGCCUCUUUAUGGUCUGGUUCACAGGUUCCCCUGGGUGGGGUAAUGGAAUCCAAGCUAAGGUGUCUGACUUCAAAAGUUUUCAGAAAUGCCACUUUUGUAAGCAUCAGGGAUUGGGUUUUCUGAGAUGCAAAACAUCUUUGUUAAGGGGUUAAAGCAUCCUUAAGCUGUUUAGGUUUCUGGGGAUACAUAGACUUAGGAAGUUAGAGCAGGUGAAGUUGAGGGGGAUGGGAACUAAGAAUUAGCUCAAAAUAGUCACCAAUGCAGAAACCCAGGCACUUGGGACCCUGACAGUGGGGAAGGCAGAGGAGUAACUGUGGGGACUUGGGCACCCUAUUAGCAGAAUGGGGUAACAGAGAAGGCAAGAAUUGCUUCCCAGGAGACUGGGCUGGGAACAGGAAGGGGACUAAAAUGCUGUCCCUGGCUGAAGAGUGUGGAGGUAUAGAGGAGCUGGUAGCAGGGCUCUGAAUCCAUACACGAGAGCAAGGACCAGUGGUUUCAGGGUGGGAUAGGGCUUUGAUGUCUUCAUGGACUUAGGGUAAUAUUCACCACCAUGGUGAAUUCCACAAAGGAGAAUUCACACAAAGGUCUCGGACCAGCCAGUUUCCAUGUGAAAAAGCCAUCUGGGAGCAAGGGAACAAACCCAGGAAUACAACUGUAUUGGGGGAAAUUCAGCCAGACAUAGGGCAAAAUUCACCCCCAAUAUUUCAUGUAGGUUCUUUUCUAUUUUCCGUAAGUGUCGGCCGGUCUGAGAAAUAAAGGGACAGAGCUCAAAAGAGAGAAAUUUUAAAGCUGGGUGUCUGGGGGAGACAUCACAUGUCGGCAGGUUCCGUGAUGCCCCCCGAGCCGUAAAACCAGCAAGUUUUUAUUCGUGAUUUUCAAAAGGGGAGGGGGAGUGUAUGAAUAGGGUGUGGGUCACAGAGAUCACAUGCUUCACAAGAUAAUAAGAUAUCACAAGGCAAAUGGAGGCAGGGCGAGAUCACAGGACCACAGGACCGGGGCAAAAUUAAAAUUGCUAAUGAAGUUUCGGGCAUGCAUUUUCAUUGAUAACAUCUUAUCAGGAGACAGGGUCUGAGAGCAGACAACCGGUCUGACCAAAAUUUAUUAGGCGGGAAUUUCCUCGUCCUAAUAAGCCUGGGAGCGCUAUGGGAGACUGGGGCUUAUUUCAUCCCUACAGCUUUGACCAUAAAAGACGGCCGCCCCCCGAAGCGGCCAUUUCGGAGGCCUACCCUCAGGGACACAUUCUCUUUCUCAGGGAUGUUCCUUGCUGAGAAAAAAAAUUUAGCGAUAUUUCUCCCAUUUGUUUUUGAAAGAAGAAAAAUAUGGCUCUGUUCUGCCUGGCUCACCGGCAGUCAGAGUUUAAGGUUAUCUCUCUUGCUCCCUGAACAUUGCUGUUAUCCUGUUCUUUUUUCAAGGUGCCCAGAUUUCAUAUUGUUCAAACACACAUGCUCUACAAACAAUUUGUGCAGUUAACGCAAUCAUCACAGGGUCCUGAGGCGACAUACAUCCUCCUCAUUUUACAAAGAUGAUGGGAUUAAGAGAUUAAAGACAGGCAUAGGAAAUCACAAGGGUAUUGAUUGGGGAAGUGAUAAGUGUCCAUGAAAUCUUCACAAUUUAUGUUCAGAGAUUGCAGUAAAGACAGGCGUAAGAAAUUAUAAAAGUAUUAAUUUGGGGAACUAAUAAAUGUCCAUGAAAUCUUCACAAUCCACAAUUAUUCUGCCAUGGCUUCAGCCGGUCCCUCCAUUUGGGGUUCCUGACUUCCCGCAACACAAGUGGAGAGAGAGGUGGCCUGACAUUAUGGCUAAGUUGAUAUGGAAGCAUUCUGGUUUGUUCUAGAAAAAAUGAAAGAGGUGGUGCAGGUAAUCAUCAGCUCCUGGUUCUGUAGCAAGGCUUUUGCUGCAAUCCCAGGAGGUAGCAACCUAGGCUUUGGUUCUGAAAGAAGAGGGUCUACCUUCCUGAAUCAUUUUUAGGAGUCUGCUGAUGGCCAGGCUUGGUGAGUUGGACUCUGUAAGGAAUUUUUAUUUAAGUGAGGUCUGGGUAGGAAAAGAGAAGGGAAAAACUUGACCCUGCCUGCACCAAAGGAUUCUGGGAAGGAGAAUAAAGAGAAAAACCCUUCUUCAUGUUUCUGCUUCAGAGCAGGAGAACCAUCACAAGCUAAGUAAAGUCAAUGAAGGGCGAGUGGCCCUAUGGCCACCUGGGCACACACCUGCCCCUUGGCCACCUUGCAUAGGCAGGCUGAGGAGGUCACUAAGGCUUGGUUUUCCUGACCUGCCCUGAUUCCACAUGCUGUAAGGAGGACCCAGAAGGCUGUGUGGCUACAGAGGUGCCCAGCAUGGUGGGGGUCACUUCAGUGUGGACACUAGACUGGACCGCGUGGAACUACAACCAGCUCAGAGCGCCAGCCAGAGUGCUGUUCUGGCCAGAAGGAGGAGCCAAGACCCACACCCAGGAGGACAAUGAGCCCCUCUCUGCAGACAGGAGCCAGCCACACCUGGGGUCUGGGGAGACUCUUCCUGAUUCCAAAUGGGACUGAACUUUAAACCAGACUGGGCAUUUGAGCAAUUUUUUAAAAGCUGUCAACCAAAUAAAGGAAUGCCA